GCAUCAGUGGUGUAUGGUACACACAGUCACUUUGUAGAUGGAUUCUUUGUGAACAGUGAUUGAGUCCGGGGUUCGAUGCCCCGCUGGUGCA